rnacentral:rRNA from 1 species
UUAUCCAGGCAAAUCCGGAUAAUCAAGGCUGAGGUGUGAUGACGAGGCACUACGGUGCUGAAGUAACAAAUGCCCUGCUUCCAGGAAAAGCCUCUAAGCAUCAGGUAACAUCAAAUCGUACCCCAAACCGACACAGGUGGUCAGGUAGAGAAUACCAAGGCGCUUGAGAGAACUCGGGUGAAGGAACUAGGCAAAAUGGUGCCGUAACUUCGGGAGAAGGCACGCUGGUGUGUAGGUGAAGUCCCUGCGGAUGGAGCUGAGACCAGUCGAAGAUACCAGCUGGCUGCAACUGUUUAUUAAAAACACAGCACUGUGCAAACACGAAAGUGGACGUAUACGGUGUGACGCCUGCCCGGUGCCGGAAGGUUAAUUGAUGGGGUUAUCCGUAAGGAGAAGCUCUUGAUCGAAGCCCCGGUAAACGGCGGCCGUAACUAUAACGGUCCUAAGGUAGCGAAAUUCCUUGUCGGGUAAGUUCCGACCUGCACGAAUGGCGUAAUGAUGGCCAGGCUGUCUCCACCCGAGACUCAGUGAAAUUGAACUCGCUGUGAAGAUGCAGUGUACCCGCGGCAAGACGGAAAGACCCCGUGAACCUUUACUAUAGCUUGACACUGAACAUUGAGCCUUGAUGUGUAGGAUAGGUGGGAGGCUUUGAAGCGUGGACGCCAGUCUGCGUGGAGCCAACCUUGAAAUACCACCCUUUAAUGUUUGAUGUUCUAACGUUGGCCCCUUACCGGGGUUGCGGACAGUGUCUGGUGGGUAGUUUGACUGGGGCGGUCUCCUCCCAAAGCGUAACGGAGGAGCACGAAGGUUAGCUAAUCCUGGUCGGACAUCAGGAGGUUAGUGCAAUGGCAUAAGCUAGCUUGACUGCGAGCGUGACGGCGCGAGCAGGUGCGAAAGCAGGUCAUAGUGAUCCGGUGGUUCUGAAUGGAAGGGCCAUCGCUCAACGGAUAAAAGGUACUCCGGGGAUAACAGGCUGAUACCGCCCAAGAGUUCAUAUCGACGGCGGUGUUUGGCACCUCGAUGUCGGCUCAUCACAUCCUGGGGCUGAAGUAGGUCCCAAGGGUAUGGCUGUUCGCCAUUUAAAGUGGUACGCGAGCUGGGUUUAGAACGUCGUGAGACAGUUCGGUCCCUAUCUGCCGUGGGCGCUGGAGAAUUGAGGGGGGCUGCUCCUAGUACGAGAGGACCGGAGUGGACGCAUCACUGGUGUUCGGGUUGUCAUGCCAAUGGCACUGCCCGGUAGCUAAAUGCGGAAGAGAUAAGUGCUGAAAGCAUCUAAGCACGAAACUUGCCCCGAGAUGAGUUCUCCCUGAGACUUUAAGUCUCCUGAAGGAACGUUAAAGACGAUGACGUUGAUAGGCCGGGUGUGUAAGCGCAGCGAUGCGUUGAGCUAACCGGUACUAAUGAACCGUGAGGCUUAACCUU